rnacentral:rRNA from 1 species
UACGUAGGCAGCGAGCGUUGUUCGGAGUUACUGGGCGUAAAGAGUGCGUAGGCGGUUUUCUAAGUUUGGUGUGAAAUCUCCCGGCUUAACUGGGAGGGUGCGCCGAAGACUGGAAGGCUUGAGUAUGGGAGAGGUAAGCGGAAUUCCUGGUGUAGCGGUGAAAUGCGUAGAUAUUACUAGGAACACCAAUGGCGAAGGCAGCUUGCUGGGCUACUCCUGACACUGAGGUACGAAAGCGUGGGGAGCGAACAGG